rnacentral:rRNA from 1 species
UACGGAGGGUGCGAGCGUUAUCCGGAAUUACUGGGUUUAAAGGGUGCGUAGGCGGCGCAGUAAGUCAGGCGUGAAAGUUUGCGGCUCAACCGUAAAAUUGCUUUUGAUACUGCUGUGCUAGAAUUAGGAUGAGGUCAGCGGAAUGUGGCAUGUAGCGGUGAAAUGCAUAGAUAUGCCAUAGAACACCAAUUGCGAAGGCAGCUGGCUAGACCUAUAUUGACGCUGAGGCACGAAAGCGUGGGGAGCGAACAGG